rnacentral:rRNA from 1 species
AGUGAACGCUGGCGGUAGGCCUAACACAUGCAAGUCGAACGGCAGCACAGUAAGAGCUUGCUCUUACGGGUGGCGAGUGGCGGACGGGUGAGGAAUACAUCGGAAUCUACUUUUUCGUGGGGGAUAACGUAGGGAAACUUACGCUAAUACCGCAUACGACCUACGGGUGAAAGCAGGGGAUCUUCGGACCUUGCGCGAUUGAAUGAGCCGAUGUCGGAUUAGCUAGUUGGCGGGGUAAAGGCCCACCAAGGCGACGAUCCGUAGCUGGUCUGAGAGGAUGAACAGCCACACUGGAACUGAGACACGGUCCAGACUCCUACGGGAGGCAGCAGUGGGGAAUAUUGGACAAUGGGCGCAAGCCUGAUCCAGCCAUACCGCGUGGGUGAAGAAGGCCUUCGGGUUGUAAAGCCCUUUUGUUGGGAAAGAAAAGCAGCAGGUUAAUACCCCGCUGUUCUGACGGUACCCAAGGAAUAAGCACCGGCUAACUUCGUG